CCAGUAAAACCAUAUAUUCCGACAGGUAUUUUCCUCACCAAACUUAAGGGUUUGUAUUAAUCCGGUAGGUAUUUUCCUCACCAACUCACUCAGGUAAUAAAA
rnacentral:lncRNA from 1 species